UUAAAUUGAAGAGUUUGAUCAUGGCUCAGAUUGAACGCUGGCGGCAGGCCUAACACAUGCAAGUCGAACGGUAACAGGAAGCAGCUUGCUGCUUUGCUGACGAGUGGCGGACGGGUGAGUAAUGUCUGGGAAACUGCCCGAUGGAGGGGGAUAACUACUGGAAACGGUAGCUAAUACCGCAUAACGUCGCAAGACCAAAGAGGGGGACCUUCGGGCCUCUUGCCAUCGGAUGUGCCCAGAUGGGAUUAGCUAGUAGGUGGGGUAAUGGCUCACCUAGGCGACGAUCCCUAGCUGGUCUGAGAGGAUGACCAGCCACACUGGAACUGAGACACGGUCCAGACUCCUACGGGAGGCAGCAGUGGGGAAUAUUGCACAAUGGGCGCAAGCCUGAUGCAGCCAUGCCGCGUGUAUGAAGAAGGCCUUCGGGUUGUAAAGUACUUUCAGCGGGGAGGAAGGGAGUAAAGUUAAUACCUUUGCUCAUUGACGUUACCCGCAGAAGAAGCACCGGCUAACUCCGUGCCAGCAGCCGCGGUAAUACGGAGGGUGCAAGCGUUAAUCGGAAUUACUGGGCGUAAAGCGCACGCAGGCGGUUUGUUAAGUCAGAUGUGAAAUCCCCGGGCUCAACCUGGGAACUGCAUCUGAUACUGGCAAGCUUGAGUCUCGUAGAGGGGGGUAGAAUUCCAGGUGUAGCGGUGAAAUGCGUAGAGAUCUGGAGGAAUACCGGUGGCGAAGGCGGCCCCCUGGACGAAGACUGACGCUCAGGUGCGAAAGCGUGGGGAGCAAACAGGAUUAGAUACCCUGGUAGUCCACGCCGUAAACGAUGUCGACUUGGAGGUUGUGCCCUUGAGGCGUGGCUUCCGGAGCUAACGCGUUAAGUCGACCGCCUGGGGAGUACGGCCGCAAGGUUAAAACUCAAAUGAAUUGACGGGGGCCCGCACAAGCGGUGGAGCAUGUGGUUUAAUUCGAUGCAACGCGAAGAACCUUACCUGGUCUUGACAUCCACGGAAGUUUUCAGAGAUGAGAAUGUGCCUUCGGGAACCGUGAGACAGGUGCUGCAUGGCUGUCGUCAGCUCGUGUUGUGAAAUGUUGGGUUAAGUCCCGCAACGAGCGCAACCCUUAUCCUUUGUUGCCAGCGGUCCGGCCGGGAACUCAAAGGAGACUGCCAGUGAUAAACUGGAGGAAGGUGGGGAUGACGUCAAGUCAUCAUGGCCCUUACGACCAGGGCUACACACGUGCUACAAUGGCGCAUACAAAGAGAAGCGACCUCGCGAGAGCAAGCGGACCUCAUAAAGUGCGUCGUAGUCCGGAUUGGAGUCUGCAACUCGACUCCAUGAAGUCGGAAUCGCUAGUAAUCGUGGAUCAGAAUGCCACGGUGAAUACGUUCCCGGGCCUUGUACACACCGCCCGUCACACCAUGGGAGUGGGUUGCAAAAGAAGUAGGUAGCUUAACCUUCGGGAGGGCGCUUACCACUUUGUGAUUCAUGACUGGGGUGAAGUCGUAACAAGGUAACCGUAGGGGAACCUGCGGUUGGAUCACCUCCUUACCUUAAAGAAGC
rnacentral:rRNA from 1 species